rnacentral:rRNA from 1 species
GGGAACGACGAACGGCUCAGUAAUGUUGCGCUGAUUUGCUCUAUGCGGGAAGAAUAACCACGGUAACCUGUGGCUAAGAGUGUAGAAUAAGGUGCAAUCCUAUUAGUUUGUUGGUAGUGUAAAGGACUACCAAGGCAGUGAUGGGUAACGGGAAAUCAGGGUUUGAUUCCGGAGAGGGAGCCUGAGAGAUGGCUCCCACGUCCAAGGAUGGCAGCAGGCGCGAAAAUUGUCCACUCUUUUGAGAGGAGACAGUUAUGAAACGUGAGUAGAAGGGUCGAGUGUAAAAACCUUGACGUGAAGCAAUUGGAGGGCAAGUUUUGGUGCCAGCAGCCGCGGUAAUUCCAACUCCAAGAGUGUCUAUGGUGGAUGCUGCAGUUAAAGGGUCCGUAGUCGUAGAUGCAAUUAAAAGGUGGUGUUAAAAGCCAUUGAGUUUGUUGAGAGUAGCGGAACGGAUAGGGAGCAUGGUAUAGGUGGGCAAAGAAUGAAAUCUCAAGACCCCACCUGGACCAACGG